rnacentral:misc_RNA from 1 species
UUUCCGUCAAAGUUUGUUGAUAUUUUGAAGGGCGCUAAGUUAAAAUUUUGCUGCAAGAAAACAAGAGUAUGUGACGGUGUAGAACUAUUUAAUUUGGUGGUCUUCAUGAUUAUGGAGACCGUUUAUACCACCACUGUGUUUCAUUCCAGUUGUGAAGCAUAAAGAGUGGUGAUGGUCAUCCGCUAUCUUAAUUAUGCAAAGAUUAGAGAUUAAGAAUAAUGGCCUUGCCAGUCUUUACCAUUAACCUUAACCACAAGAUUUUGCCUGGCCUUGUUACAAUUGGAAAGUAUGAUGGCACACAUGCAUGUCUCACUGCUGCCACGACAGCUGACCAGGUGCUUAUACACAGUCCACAUCGAAGAGUUGGAUAUGAAACUGGACGCAUGGUCUCACAUGAGAGAAGUAAGGAAUUGGUACUUCUUAACAUCAACCAGCCAGUAACAGCCAUAUGUGCAGGACGCCUGGAUCCGAGCAAGGACUGUGAUAUAUUACUUGUUGGAACCGCUACUAAUCUUCUAGCAUAUGAUGUGGAGAGAAAUAUGGAUCUUUUCUAUAAAGAGGUGAUGGAUGGAGUGUCUGCCAUUACAAUUGGGAGGCUAGGUCAUUGGAAGAAUCCUUUGGUCAUUGUUGGUGGUAACUGCUCUAUUCAGGGAUUUGACUAUGAAGGUAAUGAGCCAUUUUGGACAGUCACGGGAGACACAGUCACCUCGCUUGCUUUAUUGGACUUUGAUGGUGAUGGUGAUAAUGAGUUAAUUGUUGGCUCUCGAGAUUUUGAUAUCCGUGUCUUCAAGGAGGACAAUAUAAUAAGUGAACAUGCAGAACUUGAAGCAGUAACUGUGCUGACCCCUCUUAAUGGAAGUGGAUUUGGCUAUGGAUUGGGUAAUGGCACUGUUGGUGUAUAUCAGAAACUUCAGAGGGUUUGGAGAGUUAAGUCAAAAAGUCGUGCUAUUAUCAUCUAUAGCUUUGAUGUGGACGGUGAUGGUAUGGAAGAACUGAUAACUGGUUGGACAAAUGGGAAGGUGGAUGCCAGAAAUAGCAGAACAGGUGAAGUCAUCUUCAAGGAUACAUUACCUCAUUCUAUAGCAGGGAUUGUAGAAGGCGAUUAUCGACUUGUUGGAAAGAAUGACCUCCUUGUUUGCACUGUUGAGGGAGAAGUGAGGGGCUACAAACAGGCAAAAAUUAUGGGAACAAGACCUGAUGUGAAUGUGGAACAGGAGACAGUCAGGGAAUUGUUAUCAAGGAAGCAGGCAUUGCUUACAGAGCUUCGUAUGUAUGAAAGUAAUGCACAGCUCUCUGGCAUUGCACAUAGUGAUUAUGCUGAAAGUAUUGCUCAACAAUUGCAGCAGCAAGCUGGUGUAAUACCUGCCAAGACUCGGCUGCAGACUGGAAUCUCCAUUAAUAUGGGGAAUGAAAAGAAACCGGGUCACAUUGAAGUCGCUCUUGCAACAAACAAUGAAACUGUAAUAAGAGUUGUAAUGGUAUUCGCUGAGGGCAUAUUUGAAGGUGAGACACAUGUUAUCCACUUAAAAGAAUCAGAAAUAUCAUCUAAUGUGAAUGUUGCACUCUAUCCUCCAAAGGAUGUGCCAGUAGACAUUCACAUAAAGGCCUUGGUGGGUUAUCGUGGAAGCCAGCAUUACCAUGUUUUUGAGCUUACAAGGCAGCUACCACGUUUUGCUAUGUAUGCUUUAUGCGAGGAGCCGGGUAAUUUACCCUCCAGCUAUGUGUCAUUCUCUUUAAAUGAAAGAGUGCAGAGGAUUGCAAUGUGGAUUAAUCAGAAUUUCCUGGUUUUGUCAGAUAUUGAAGCAAACACUGAACUGAAUGUGACAUUUCUUUCACUAAGAGACAACACGAGAGUAAAUAUAUCAAUGCAGCCAGAAAAUAAGUUUGUUAUUGCAACACACAGCAUGGCUGUUGCAGGUGAUAUCGUACAAUCUCUUGCAGCUUUUUUAAAUUUGGAUGAAUUGCAGGUAAAGGCAGAAUUUUCUGAAGAAGAACAACGAAUUGCUGUUUUGCUUCAGCAAGUAAGUGAUCUUCAAGAAACCAGGCUUCGUUUGGCAGCAGAAAUGGCAGACCAUUCUGGACUUGUUCGUAGCUUGGUGAUGCGUGCAGAAAAUGCCCGGCACUUGGGAGAUGUUAAGGACGUUCGGAGAUGGUAUGCAGAACUGAAUUACAUUAGCACUGACUUGGUACGGGGCUAUAACAUACGCUGCAUGAAUCAUCAAGAACUUGUAGAAGCUCUGAAACAAGUCAAUCUCAUAAUAGAAAAGGCAGCUAAGCUAAGAGGUAAUCCUCGUUGAAGACCUCAAUGCACAUGGUGCUUGCAUGUUGUAGAAGACUAUAUAGGUUGCUGUGUUCUCUGAUUUCUAAAUUGACCUGCUCACUUUAUUUGCAGUUGUGGAAUAACAGCUGCUAUCUCAUAACUUGGUCCUAUCACUAAACUUUGAUGUGAUUGGAGAGAGAGAAAAAUUCUAACUUAUAGAAAUUUGGCAGGUUUAAAGUCUCAGUCAUCAAUGCUUGUCGUAUGGCACUGAAAAAUAACAAUGUCAGUCUGCUUGUAAAAGCGAUAAGAAUAGGAGAAGUAUAAUUACAAUAUACCUUGAAUCAGACACAU